rnacentral:rRNA from 1 species
GAUGAACGCUGGCGGCGUGCCUAAUACAUGCAAGUCGAGCGAACGGACGAGAAGCUUGCUUCUCUGAUGUUAGCGGCGGACGGGUGAGUAACACGUGGAUAACCUACCUAUAAGACUGGGAUAACUUCGGGAAACCGGAGCUAAUACCGGAUAAUAUUUUGAACCGCAUGGUUCAAAAGUGAAAGACGGUUUUGCUGUCACUUAUAGAUGGAUCCGCGCUGCAUUAGCUAGUUGGUAAGGUAACGGCUUACCAAGGCAACGAUGCAUAGCCGAACUGAGAGGGUGAUCGGCCACACUGGAACUGAGACACGGUCCAGACUCCUACGGGAGGCAGCAGUGGGGAAUCUUCCGCAAUGGGCGAAAGCCUGACGGAGCAACGCCGCGUGAGUGAUGAAGGUCUUCGGAUCGUAAAGCUCUGUUAUUAGGGAAGAACAUAUGUGUAAGUAACUGUGCACGUCUUGACGGUACCUAAUCAGAAAGCCACGGCUAACUACGUG